UGGGUUUUAUUUAUUUGGGUACCC
rnacentral:siRNA from 1 species